UAACUGCGUGCAGACGUGUGAACUGCAGGACACAUGAACACCGACGUUUCGAACGCAAAUGGCGGUCUAAAGUAAAUUUUAGACCACGUCUGGCUGAGGGUCGGAUUUGAAAUAAAACUAAAGUUACUCUGAGGUCGUAUGUUUGAUACACAAGUUUCAUCGCUGGGUUAAAAUUUAGCUCAGUUAGAAUUCUGGUAGCGCUGAACAAGAAAGCUAACUUGAUGUUAUAAUAAAAUGUUAAAAGCGAUAAAUGUUUGCGCUAUUCAAAAAAUUUAUAAAAAACAAAUCAAACAUACGACCUCAGAGUAGGCGAGAUUACCCGCUAAAUUUAA
rnacentral:misc_RNA from 1 species